rnacentral:piRNA from 1 species
CUAAGAGACCAUGGAGCCUCAAAACUGG